CUUGAGAAUGACGGCGCUACAGAAACCUUCAGAGUCGGCGCUCUUGAGAAGGGCCUGCAAGCCGCGUCAAAACGGCCCACGGGGACUUGCCAGAAUCUGCCACUUAGUCGUGUCUAUUUGAAGUGAAUUGCUUCCAAAUAACUGUCGAAGAUGGCGGCCAGCGACAGAGUGGGAAUAAUGAAGCCAAGCUUGGGUACAAGAGCCCUAUCUGCACAAAAUCCACCAUGAGAUUUGGAGCGUGUGGCUACCUGCCAGGGACAUUCUCCAGAGGCGCAGGCAAGUCCUUGAAAGUCGUCGCGGACCAUGGCGGACUGUCGGGCCUCCCACUGGCUCAGACUGUUCACCUCCCCGCAUGGAUAGCGCACUGACCGGGGUGAGAAGAAGAGCAAAGUGUGGCGGGAUUCUCCUCUUUGCGGCGCCAUCAUCACGACCGAGGUGACGAUACCUGCCGGCUCGCACUUGUUCCUGUCUGUCCGAUGGAGCUUCCACCCUCUUGCGCAGGAGCACUCGUAGGAGGUGUAGCCCGGCUUGCAGAACUGGGA